ACGGAGGAUGCAAGCGUUAUCCGGAUUUAUUAGGUUUAAAGGGUGUGCAGGCGGAUGUAUAAGUCAGUGGUGAAAGUCAGCAGCUUAACUGUAGAAUUGCCAUUGAUACUGUAUGUCUUGAGUAUAGUUGAGGUAGGCGGAAUGUGUCAUGUAGCGGUGAAAUGCUUAGAUAUGACACAGAACACCGAUAGCGAAGGCAGCAUACUAAAUCACAACUGACGCUGAUGCACGAAAGCGUGGGGAUCAAACAG
rnacentral:rRNA from 1 species